UUUCUGACACUUACACAGAUACGUGAAAAGUAUCUGCGGCAAACGAAGAGGUCAGGCCCUGAGGUUCCAGAGCUCCCCCUCCGGCUUCCAGGGCCCUCGGCCCGGGCUCUGCCCUCGGCCGCCCGGCUCGCGGAGAGACAACGCCCGGUGAGGACAGAAAGCCGAGUGCAACUGGCUUGGCCUCGAUACGGGAAUUUACUGCUCACAGAUGACAACUGGACCAGCUUCGGACCAUCCUUACCCAUCUCUUCUCUCCUGAAGCUCUGGAACAGCCCUUCCCUGGUCUCCCCUAUAAAACGGGGCAGAUUAAUCUCCGGAGGUGAAUUCCAUCCCUGCCCUUUGGCCCCUCAAAUGCUCAGGGGCUCCCCAUCUGUCUCACACCUUCGAAUUCCUCCUUCUCGUUUACAGUCAUGAAGAUCCAAACGCCGGCAGUUUACACCUUUGCACGUUACCUGCACCACCGAGCACGGUCAUGGCUGAUCAUCACGACUGAGCUAUUUCUCCCGCUGCCUCCACGCUUUGACCGAUCACUUACUCUGGACCCUGGAAUCCUGGGCAGGCUUCUUCCACAACCCAGCACAGAAGGAAACGGUGCCUGAAUUUCCGUAUAGCUGUUUGCCUAUUUUGAAAAUGUAUAAAGACAGAACUUCUGGAAAUCUCAACAACUCCCCCAGGGAGCUGGGUCAGUGCUGGCUCCCCUCCCCGGAGACCCAACUCGGCUGGAUUUUACACACAGGAGGUGGGACCUCCUGGUACUGAGAAAUGGGGGCCAGCAAGAGGGACACACACGAGGAGGUACAAGAUCUCACCACAGAGAAUUUUAAAAUAACAAUAAACCUGUCCACAUCCAUUUCAUCUACCAACCUUAAGUAGGUACUGGCGCUACUUAAUUUUUGCCACUUAAAAAAUUGGGGGAGGAUAUUUUUGGACUAAAUUAGACGGUGACUGUGAUUUGUCUCAAAAUAAUCUGGGGUGGGGGUGGGCAGAGAGGGUAGAUGCAUAAAUAAAAAAAGACUGGCUUUUCCUUGAUAACUUUUGAAAUUAUAUCACUGUGGUGACACAUCCCUGGAGGUCUGUUCAACUCUUUUCUUCUAUAUGUGCUUGCAGGAAGGGAUUUAACCUCUCAA